ACCGACCGCCAUAUCACCCUGCAGCCCAAGACUGGUUGCCCACUGAAGCUAAGCAGGGUUGAGCCUGGUCAGUACCUGGGUGGGAGACCUCCUGGGAAAACUAGGUUGCUGUUGGAA
rnacentral:rRNA from 1 species